rnacentral:lncRNA from 1 species
AGAUUUACUUGACUUAAAAGAUUCCGAGCCCAUAAAGGGAGUCUUAGGCCUGAAUUGUUCUUAUAUUCUGAAUCAUGCUAAUGCACUCUUUUGGUUACUAGAUUGGUACUUGUAUUAGAUAAAUACUCAUGGGGCUGUAGGCUGAAGUGCUGAACCAUGUCAUAUGAUUUCAUCCUAUCUAAAGUACUUUGCAUAGCCAUGUUAAGGUGACUCUUAUCAUAAUCGAUGUCAGUCAUUGUACUCCUAGUUUAGACCAGCGGUAUAAUUAAGGCUUAUGUUAACUAAUAAUCAUGUUGAUUGAUGUCGAACAGAAUCUGGAGCUGAGACUGGUGAUCCACUUCAUUGGAAAGAAAGAGAUUUGCAUAAACCCAUUAUACAGCUGAGCUUGCAAAGACAACUUGGCCUUCUGAUUUAUGGGUAGGAAUGCAUUGUCUGCUGGCUCCAUAGAGUAUUCUUUCUUUCACUGUUUUAUUCUUUUCCUCUUGUCUUCGUUUUUUAUUCCCCUCCUCUCCUCCUGGGGCCACCUCCCUGUGUGAUAUUAAGAGUCCAUUUCCUAAUUUUCCUUCCUUGUUUUUGUUUCACAUAUAUUUCAGUUUAGAAGAUCACAAAUAAUAGAGUUUUAAAGUGGUCUCACUUUGUGGCAAUGCAGGUGCAAGAAGGGGAUCCUUCAUUUAUGCAUGAUCGGAUUAAAUAUCAAUGAAGGAGAGAAAUUUCUGUAUGUACAUAUUAAUUUUAUUGUCUUUGUCAGGUUGUGAUGAUGAUAACAAUUAAGCUGAGCUGGUCCUCUUAAAGCUUAAGAUUGGA